rnacentral:rRNA from 1 species
UACGAAGGGUGCAAGCGUUAAUCGGAAUUACUGGGCGUAAAGCGCGCGUAGGUGGUUUGUUAAGUUGGAUGUGAAAGCCCCGGGCUCAACCUGGGAACUGCAUCCAAAACUGGCAAGCUAGAGUAUGGUAGAGGGUGGUGGAAUUUCCUGUGUAGCGGUGAAAUGCAUAGAUAUAGGAAGGAACACCAGUGGCGAAGGCGACCACCUGGACUGAUACUGACACUGAGGUGCGAAAGCGUGGGGAGCAAACAGG